rnacentral:lncRNA from 1 species
GUGAAAGGGGAUUUUAAAUGCAAAGCUGUUAUUCAGCACUGCACAUUAUGCAGAAUUUCACAAAUUAUUCAGUGCAUUCUAUACUGAAUUUGGAAAAUACUGGAUUCAGAAAUUAUAAUUUAACAUUUCACAAUAAAAUUUAUUAUUCAAUAACUGACCACUCAUUGUUCUCACUUGAAAUGAGCAGAAAUCAUUGGCUUAGAUUAAUAAGCAGAAACAAAAUGUAUGAAACUAACUCUAGUGAGCGGGAAACCCGGUAUAGUGCAUCUGACCUGAUUAGCAAUAGGCAAAGAUGGCCUAAAGUUUUUUUUUUUUCUUCCCUAAAAUAUCUGAAUCAUUUCUUUUUUCUUUCUUUUUUUUACACUAACUUCCUGAGAAACACCAUUGGGCUGUUAACAUUUUUCAGAAAAUAGCAACUUCUUGGUGCAAAUAUACAAUCAAAACCCUGAUACAGCUAGAUAGGUUGAGAUUUGCACAUGAAAAAUUUAUAAGUGGUAGUUCUUGUGAAGCAACAAGUUUCCUUAGUGCCUAAGAGUAAAAACCGACUUGGGAUGUCUGAUGUCCAAAACAGACUUCUAACUCAGAAUAGGCUACAAAGAGAAGGUAGAAUCAGUGUACCUCAGCUCUACUAAUCCUGUGAAAACUUUUUUUUUCUUAUGAAGAAGGUAACAAGGAAUCUUAGAGUAGCUGUGAUUUGCUUUAAUAAUGCAAAGAUCCUAUGAUUAAAUAUAUAUUUUAAGUUUUACUAAGGUUUGAUAUCAUGAAAACAAAGCCAUGACUUUUUUCUUUUUGGUUAAAAUGUUCUUUAUGGGAUAGAAAUGUGGAUAUUAUUGAGAAUGAAAAUUUAUAGAAUGCUUUCAAGUUUAUAAAAUAUUCUCAUUUCAUAAGAUCCCAUUAACCUAUGAAAAAGGAACUGCAAGGAUUAUAGUCUUCAUUUUCCAGAUGAGACAAAUGAGGUUCAGAGGGGUAAAUUACCUUGGCCAUACUAAGUGUCAGUGGCAGAAUUAGAAUAGCUGCCUUCACUUAAAAUCUAGCACCCUGACUUCUAUGCCAGACUGUAAUGCAAGUGCUGGGGGAAACUGAGUCAUGAUAAAUUAAUUAAUUUUGUGAAUUUAAAGAGAAUCAUUUAAAUAGAAUAUCUCACUAAUGUUAAUAAAUUUCACCAAAAUAAACCAUGGAUCAAUAAUAUAAGUAUUACCUUUAGGCCAGGAAAUUCAAUUCUAUCUCAUUGAUAACUUUUGGAAGGUAAGGUGUUUAGAGUAAGAAGAGGGGCAGGAAAUAGAAGUAGAAGAUGAUUUUUUGAAAAGAUCUCUUUUUUUUGGUAGAUGGGAUAUAUUUACUUCUUUU